GGGCGAUGAUGACCAAACGUUUCUCAAUUCUGAGUGCUUCUGGAUGACAGUAUUUAUGCGUGUCUGAGCCUU